rnacentral:tRNA from 1 species
GGCCUAGAUAGCUUAACUGGUAGAGCAUUUGGCGCGUAACCAAAAGAUCCAGGUUCGAGUCCUGGUCUGGCCU